rnacentral:rRNA from 1 species
UAGGGAAUCUUCCACAAUGGACGCAAGUCUGAUGGAGCAACGCCGCGUGAGUGAAGAAGGGUUUCGGCUCGUAAAGCUCUGUUGUUAAAGAAGAACAUAUCUGAGAGUAACUGUUCAGGUAUUGACGGUAUUUAACCAGAAAGCCACGGCUAACUACGUGCCAA